UGGGGAAUAUUGGACAAUGGGCGAAAGCCUGAUCCAGCCAUGCCGCGUGGGUGAAGAAGGCCUUCGGGUUGUAAAGCCCUUUUGUUGGGGAAGAAAUCCUGCUGGCUAAUACCCGGCGGGGAUGACGGUACCCAAAGAAUAAGCACCGGCUAACUUCGUGCCAGCAGCCGCGGUAAUACGAAGGGUGCAAGCGUUACUCGGAAUUACUGGGCGUAAAGCGUGCGUAGGUGGUGGCUUAAGUCCGUUGUGAAAGCCCUGGGCUCAACCUGGGAAUUGCAGUGGAUGCUGGGUCACUAGAGUGUGGUAGAGGGUGGCGGAAUUCCCGGUGUAGCAGUGAAAUGCGUAGAGAUCGGGAGGAACACCCGUGGCGAAGGCGGCCACCUGGGCCAACACUGACACUGAGGCACGAAAGCGUGGGAGCAAACAG
rnacentral:rRNA from 1 species